CUGGAAAUUCCCGUUUCCGAGCACCCAAACCCAACAUGAACGGAUACACCCUCCUCGCCUUCUUCGGUGUCAUCGCCGCGGCCUACGCCGGUGGCUACGGCCUCGGCCACGGCUAUGGCGUCGGCCUCGCCUACGGUCACGGCUACGGUCUUGGCUACGGCUAUGGCCACGGCUAUGGACAUGGCUACGCCCUCGGCCACGGCUACGGACACGGCCACCACGGUGCCAUUGUGGCCACCUCUGUGCAGAAGACUGUUCAUCAUGCUCCUGCUCGUGCUGUUGCUGUUGCCCACGGCUAUGGUCAUGGUUACGGCCAUGGUCUUGGCUACGGACAUGGUCUCGGCUAUGGCGUUGCCCUCGGCCACGGUUACGGCUAUGGCCACGGCUUCGGACACUACGGUUAAACUCUAUUCUUACCAUAGGUACAGCAAAACAACAGUAGGAAUGAAACACAGAGACAAGAAAGAGCGCUGCCGUUCAACUGAAUUUGUUGAAAUCAACAAUUUUGCAAGAGGCAAGCGGAAGAUGUAUCCGGCACACGGGUCAAAAAGAGGGUGAGAAGAAAUGGGGAAAUAAAAUUCCUAAUUUAUUGUAAAA